rnacentral:rRNA from 1 species
AAGGUCCCAAGGGUUCGGCUGUUCGCCGAUUAAAGUGGCACGCGAGCUGGGUUCAGAACGUCGUGAGACAGUUCGGUCCCUAUCUGUCGUGGGCGCUGGAGAUUCGAGAGGUCCUGACUCUAGUACGAGAGGACCGGGUUGGACGCGCCGCUAGUGAACCUGUUAUGACGCCAGUCGUACGGCAGGGUAGCCACGCGCGGACGGGAUAAGCGCUGAAAGCAUCUAAGCGCGAAGCCUGCCUCGAGAUGAGAUCUCCUUACAGGGUCGUCGUAGACGACGACGUUGAUAGGCCACAGGUGUAAAGCCGGUGACGGCAAAGCCGAGUGGUACUAAUCACCCGAAAGUUGACGUU